rnacentral:rRNA from 1 species
AACGAACGCUGGCGGCAUGCCUAACACAUGCAAGUCGAACGAGACCUUCGGGUCUAGUGGCGCACGGGUGCGUAACGCGGGGGAACCUGCCCUUAGGUUCGGAAUAACUCCCCGAAAGGGGUGCUAAUACCGGAUAAUGUCUUCGGACCAAAGAUUUAUCGCCUUUGGAUGGGCCCGCGUUGGAUUAGCUAGUUGGUAGGGUAAAAGCCUACCAAGGCGACGAUCCAUAGCUGGUCUGAGAGGAUGAUCAGCCACACUGGGACUGAGACACGGCCCAGACUCCUACGGGAGGCAGCAGUGGGGAAUAUUGGACCAUGGGCGAAAGCCUGAUCCAGCAAUGCCGCGUGAGUGAUGAAGGCCUUAGGGUUGUAAAGCUCUUUUACCCGGGAUGAUAAUGACAGUACCGGGAGAAUAAGCUCCGGCUAACUCCGUG